UACGUAGGGGGCUAGCGUUGUCCGGAUUUAUUGGGCGUAAAGAGCUCGUAGGCGGCUCGUUGCGUCGGCUGUGAAAACCCGCAGCUCAACUGUGGGCUUGCAGCUGAUACGGGCGGGCUGGGAUUCGGUAGGGGAGACUGGAAUUCCUGGUGUAGCGGUGAAAUGCGCAGAUAUCAGGAGGAACACCGGUGGCGAAGGCGGGUCUCUGGGCCGAUAUCGACGCUGAGGAGCGAAAGCGUGGGGAGCGAACAGG
rnacentral:rRNA from 1 species